GAUGAAGAACGUAGCGAAAUGCGAUACGUAAUGUGAAUUGCAGAAUUCAGUGAAUCAUCGAAUCUUUGAACGCACAUUGCGCCUGCCAGCACUCUGGCAGGCAUGCCUGUUCGAGCGUCAUUUCAACCAUCAAGCCCUAGGCUUGCGUUGGAGCCCUGCGGCUGCCGCAGGCCCCUAAAAGCAGUGGCGGGCUCGCUAUCACACCGAGUGCAGUAGUUUACUCUUCGCUCAGGGCGUGUGGCGGGUGCUAGCCGUGAAACCCCCAACUUCUCAAGGUUGACCUCGGAUCAGGUAGGAAUACCCGCUGAACUUAAGCAUAUCAAUAAGCGGAGGA
rnacentral:misc_RNA from 1 species